rnacentral:lncRNA from 1 species
UUUUUUUUUUUUGUGAUAAAGCAGGAGCCCAACUGCCCAACACACUGUUGGUAUGAACAAUUUUCAUGAAAAAGCUAACUUGUUUUGAUGAAAUCACUUUAACUCAUAGGCUUGGUCCUUUGAUUAACAAUGCUUGUGGGACACUCCCGUCGAGGAGCUCACAUCAUGAGUAGUCAAUAUUAGCUCCUAACUUAAAUUUUGAAUACUGGGAUACCAGAUCCUAUUAAUAAUCUUAUACUAAGGAAAAAGCUAUCUAACAAAUAAAUUGUCGAAAAGAAUACAUCACCAAGACAUACAUUGCUUAUAUGACUUUUGGAGUAAACGACCAUACACGUACG